rnacentral:lncRNA from 1 species
CUCACGUCAUCACGAGAAGAACGCACCCCUGCUCAGACUGAAUGGGAAUACUGAUAAACACGAAAACAUGCUCAACUUCUCUAAUAAUCAAAGAAAUACAUAUUAAAAUGAGAUGCCACUGUUUCUUCUAUCACUGGGACUGAAAUGGAAAGUAUUCAUCAUAUCCUUUGCUGGUGAGAAAGCCGGACGAAGAAAGAUCAGAGAGAGCGCCACCCCCAUUCCCCACAGCGUUCCAGCUCUGGCCCUGCUCUGUGGCUGCCCCUCAAGCCUGAAAAUCACCUCAUAUUCU